rnacentral:rRNA from 1 species
CUUGGGUACUCGAGUGGCGAACGGGUGAGUAACACGUGGGUGAUCUGCCCUGCACUUCGGGAUAAGCCUGGGAAACUGGGUCUAAUACCGGAUAGGACCACAUUUUGGAUGGUGUGGUGGAAAGUUUUUCGGUGUGGGAUGAGCUCGCGGCCUAUCAGCUUGUUGGUGGGGUAAUGGCCUACCAAGGCGUUGACGGGUAGCCGGCCUGAGAGGGUGUACGGCCACAUUGGGACUGAGAUACGGCCCAG